AAACUUUAUAUGAAUUUGUAGUCUGAGAAGGCAAUUUGCCGUAACAUUUUUAAACAUGUUAAAACUUUCAACAACGGAUCUCUUGGCUCUCGCAUCGAUGAAGAACGCAGCGAAAUGCGAUAAGUAAUGUGAAUUGCAGAAUUCAGUGAAUCAUCGAAUCUUUGAA
rnacentral:rRNA from 1 species